CCGUGCUAGACGGGGAGGUAGCGGUGCCCUGUAACUCGCAAUCCGCUGUAGCGGGGUUGAAUUCCUUUCGUAGGUUUUUGCAGUGUGGGGCUGGUGUUCAUGAACAGUGUUGACGGCCGGGUCCUCCGCAAUGGACGCUUGUGAACGGGUCAGGUCCGGAAGGAAGCAGCCAUAAGUAAGUUAGUUCAUGUGCCGGAGGAGUGCUUGACCAGAGCUGGGAGUGAGCUUUCCGCUCAUGUCGCUUAAAUCGAGGAUAGGUGCACGG
rnacentral:SRP_RNA from 1 species